rnacentral:rRNA from 1 species
UCGGGAAUAUUGUGCAAUGGAGGAAACUCUGACGCAGUGACGCCGCGUAUAGGAUGAAGGUUUUCGGAUUGUAAACUAUUGUCGUUAGGGAAGAUAAAAGACAGUACCUAAGGAGGAAGCUCCGGCUAACUACGUGCCAGCAGCCGCGGUAAUACGUAGGGAGCAAGCGUUAUCCGGAUUUAUUGGGUGUAAAGGGUGCGUAGACGGGAAAUUAAGUUAGUUGUGAAAUACCUUGGCUUAACUAAGGAACUGCAACUAAAACUGGUUUCUUGAGUGCAGGAGAGGAAAGCGGAAUUCCUAGUGUAGCGGUGAAAUGCGUAGAUAUUAGGAAGAACACCAGUGGCGAAGGCGGCUUUCUGGACUGAAACUGACGCUGAGGCUCGAAAGCGUGGGGAGCGAACAGGAUUAGAUACCCUGGUAGU